UACGGGGGGGGCAAGCGUUGUCCGGAAUUAUUGGGCGUAAAGAGCGUGUAGGCGGCCAGAUAGGUCUGCUGUGAAAACUCGAGGCUCAACCUCGAGAUGUCGGCGGAAACCAUUUGGCUAGAGUCCGGAAGAGGAAAGUGGAAUUCCUGGUGUAGCGGUGAAAUGCGCAGAUAUCAGGAAGAACACCCGUGGCGAAGGCGGCUUUCUGGGACGGUACUGACGCUGAGACGCGAAAGCGUGGGGAGCGAACAGG
rnacentral:rRNA from 1 species